CACAGCAGUAGCAAUACUGUGGGUGGCGAGCGGCGGACGGGUGAGGAACACAUCGGAAUCUACCCUGUCGUGGGGGACAACGUAGGGAAACUUACGCUAAUACCGCAUACGACCUUUGGGUGAAAGUGGGGGACCCGCAAGGGCCUCACGCGAUUGGAUGAGCCGAUGUCCGAUUAGCUAGUUGGCGGGGUAAUGGCCCACCAAGGCGACGAUCGGUAGCUGGUCUGAGAGGACGACCAGCCACACUGGAACUGAGACACGGUCCAGACUCCUACGGGAGGCAGCAGUGGGGAAUAUUGGACAAUGGGGGCAACCCUGAUCCAGCCAUGCCGCGUGGGUGAAGAAGGCCUUCGGG
rnacentral:rRNA from 1 species